rnacentral:rRNA from 1 species
UACGAAGGGGGCUAGCGUUGCUCGGAAUGACUGGGCGUAAAGGGCGCGUAGGCGGAUUGCACAGUCAGAUGUGAAAUUCCCGGGCUUAACCUGGGGGCUGCAUUUGAUACGUGUGAUCUAGAGUGAGGAAGAGGGUCGUGGAAUUCCCAGUGUAGAGGUGAAAUUCGUAGAUAUCGGGAGGAACACCGGUGGCGAAGGCGGCGACCUGGGACAAUACUGACGCUGAGGUGCGAAAGCGUGGGGAGCAAACAGG